AACGAACGCUGGCGGCAUGCCUUAUACAUGCAAGUCGGACGAGUGGCGAACGGGUGAGUAACGCAUGGGAACGUACCGAGUAAUGGGGGAUAACUGCCCGAAAGGAUAGCUAAUACCGCAUAGUAUUCGAUCGGCCGUCUUCUGAUUAGCUGGUUGGCGGGGGAAAGGCCCACCAAGGCGAGGAUCAGUAGCGGGUCUGAGAGGAUGAUCCGCCACACUGGGACUGAGACACGGCCCAUACUCCUACGGGAGGCAGCAGUGGGGAAUUUUGGACAAUGGGCGCAAGUCUUAUCCAGCAAUGCCGCGUGUCUGAAGAAGGCCUUCGGGUGGUAAAGUACUUUUGUCAGGGAAGCGGUACCUGAAGAGUAAGCACCGGCUAACUACGUGCCAGCAGCCGCGGUAAUAC
rnacentral:rRNA from 1 species